rnacentral:rRNA from 1 species
UACGUAGGGUGCGAGCGUUGUCCGGAAUUAUUGGGCGUAAAGAGCUCGUAGGCGGUGUGUCACGUCGUUCGUGAAAACCUGCAGCUUAACUGUGGGCGUGCGGUCGAUACGGGCAUCACUGGAGUUCGGCAGGGGAGACUGGAAUUCCUGGUGUAGCGGUGAAAUGCGUAGAUAUCUGGAGGAACACCGGUGGCGAAGGCGGCAUCCUGGACCGAGAUUGACGCUGAGGCGCGAAAAGCCAGGGGGAGCAAACGGGG